UACGGGGGGGGCAAGCGUUGUUCGGAAUUACUGGGCGUAAAGGGCUCGUAGGCGGCCAACUAAGUCAGACGUGAAAUCCCUCGGCUUAACCGGGGAACUGCGUCUGAUACUGGAUGGCUUGAGUUUGGGAGAGGGAUGCGGAAUUCCAGGUGUAGCGGUGAAAUGCGUAGAUAUCUGGAGGAACACCGGUGGCGAAGGCGGGCUACUGGGCCGAUACUGACGCUGAUGCGCGAAAGCCAGGGGAGCGAACGGG
rnacentral:rRNA from 1 species